rnacentral:rRNA from 1 species
AGCGAACGCUGGCGGCAGGCCUAACACAUGCAAGUCGAACGAACCUUUCGGGGUUAGUGGCGGACGGGUGAGUAACACGUGGGAACGUGCCUUUAGGUUCGGAAUAACUCAGGGAAACUUGUGCUAAUACCGAAUGUGCCCUUCGGGGGAAAGAUUUAUCGCCUUUAGAGCGGCCCGCGUCUGAUUAGCUAGUUGGUUGAGGUAAUGGCUCACCAAGGCGACGAUCAGUAGCUGGUCUGAGAGGAUGAUCAGCCACAUUGGGACUGAGACACGGCCCAAACUCCUACGGGAGGCAGCAGUGGGGAAUCUUGCGCAAUGGGCGAAAGCCUGACGCAGCCAUGCCGCGUGAAUGAUGAAGGUCUUAGGAUUGUAAAAUUCUUUCACCGGGGACGAUAAUGACGGUACCCGGAGAAGAAGGCCCGGCUAACUUCGUG